rnacentral:rRNA from 1 species
UACGUAGGGGGCUAGCGUUGUCCGGAUUUAUUGGGCGUAAAGAGCGUGUAGGCGGCCAGGUAGGUCUGCUGUGAAAACUCGAGGCUCAACCUCGAGACGUCGGCGGAAACCAUCUGGCUAGAGUCCGGAAGAGGAGAGUGGAAUUCCUGGUGUAGCGGUGAGAUGCGCAGAUAUCAGGAAGAACACCCGUGGCGAAGGCGGCUCUCUGGGACGGUACUGACGCUGAGACGCGAAAGCGUGGGGAGCAAACAGG